rnacentral:rRNA from 1 species
CAUAGGUUUAGGGCACUGGAAGGUCCCUAAACCGAAAGGGGCUCUGCCCGCCCGAGGAUGGGCCGGCGGCCGAUUAGGUAGUUGGUGGGGUAACGGCCCACCAAGCCCAUAAUCGGUACGGGCAGUGAGAGCUGGAGCCCGGAGAUGGACACUGAGACACGGGUCCAGGCCCUACGGGGCGCAGCAGGCGCGAAACCUCCGCAAUGCUCGAAAGAGCGACGGGGGGACCCCAAGUGCCGUGGUACAACCACGGCUUUUCCGGAGUGUAAGAAGCUCCGGGAAUAAGGGCUGGGCAAGGCCGGUGGCAGCCGCCGCGGUAAUACCGGCGGCCCGAGUGGUGGCCACUAUUAUUGGGCCUAAAGCGUCCGUAGCCGGGCUUGUAAGUCCCUGGCGAAAUCCCACGGCUCAACCGUGGGGCUUGCUGGGGAUACUGCAAGCCUUGGGACCGGGAGAGGCCGGGGGUACUCCUGGGGUAGGGGUGAAAUCCUAUAAUCCCAGGAGGACCGCCAGUGGCGAAGGCGCCCGGCUGGAACGGGUCCGACGGUGAGGGACGAAGGCCAGGGGAGCAAACCGGAUUAGAUACCCGGGUAGUCCUGGCUGUAAAGGAUGCGGGCUAGGUGUUGCUUGGACCUCGAGUCCAAGCAGUGCCGCA